rnacentral:rRNA from 1 species
GGAUGAACGCUGGCGGCAUGCCUAAUACAUGCAAGUCGUGCGGAAAGGCCCCUUCGGGGGUACUCGAGCGGCGGACGGCAGAGUAACGCGUAGGAACAUACCCCAAAGUGAGGGAUAACUGCUCGAAAGAGUAGCUAAUACCGCAUGUGGUCUUCGGAUUAAAGCCUUAGGGCGCUUUGGGAAUGGCCUGCGUUCGAUUAGCUAGUUGGUGAGGUAAAUGCUCACCAAGGCGACGAUCGAUAGCUGGUCUGAGAGGAUGAUCAGCCUGGCUGGAACUGAGACACGGUCCAGACUCCUACGGGAGGCAGCAGUAGGGAAUUUUCCACAAUGGGCGAAAGCCUGAUGGAGCAAUGCCGCGUGCAGGAUGAAGGCCCUCGGGUCGUAAACUGCUUUUAUGUGAGAAGAAUAUGACGGUAACACAUGAAUAAGGGUCGGCUAACUACGUGCCAGCAGCCGCGGUCAUACGUAGGACCCAAGCGUUAUCCGGAAUUACUGGGCGUAAAGAGUUGCGUAGGUGGCAUUAUAAGUGGAGCGUGAAAGCGUGCGGCUCAACCGCAUUAUUGCGUUCUAAACUGUAAAGCUUGAGUAUGGGAGAGGUAGAUGGAAUUUCUAGUGUAGGAGUGAAAUCCGUAGAUAUUAGAAGGAACACCGAUGGCGUAGGCAGUCUACUGGCCCAUUACUGACACUAAGGCACGAAAGCGUGGGUAGCAAACGGGAUUAGAUACCCCGGUAGUCCACGCUGUAAACUAUGGAUGCUAGCUGUGACACACAUCGACCUGUGUCGUAGCGAAGUUAACGCGUUAAGCAUCCCGCCUGGGGAGUACGGUCGCAAGAUUAAAACUCAAAGGAAUUGACGGGGACCCGCACAAGCGGUGGAGCGUGUUGUUUAAUUCGAUGGUAAGCGAAGAACCUUACCAAGGCUUGAAAUCCCGAGAAGGCACUCGAAAGAGAGCUGUGCUUUAUUGAACUCGGUGACAGGUGUUGCAUGGCCGUCGUCAGCUCGUGUCGUGAGAUGUUUGGUUAAGUCCAUCAACGAGCGCAACCCUUGUAGUUAGUUGAAUUUCUCUAGCUAGACUGCCCUGGUAACAGGGAGGAAGGAGGGGAUGAUGUCAGGUCAGUAUUACCCUUACGCCUUGGGCUACAAACACGCUACAAUGGCCGGUACAAAGGGCUGCCAACCCGCGAGGGGGAGCAAAUCCCAUCAAAACCGGUCUCAGUUCGGAUUGCAGGCUGAAACUCGCCUGCAUGAAGCUGGAAUCGCUAGUAACGGUAGGUCAGCACACUACCGUGAAUACGUUCCCGGGUCU